rnacentral:sRNA from 1 species
UGACCACUCGUAAGCGAGUCAAGGCCAUGCGGACAGCCGGGUCAACUGCCGA